UCGGGAAUCAUUCGCAAUGGGCGAAAGCCUGACGGUGCGACGCCGCGUGGAGGAUGAAGGCCCUAGGGUCGUAAACUCCUGUCAUCAGGGAGUAAUGGCUCAUAUAGUAACUGAUAUGGGUCUUGAUAGUACCUGAAGAGGAAGGGACGGCAAACUUCGUGCCAGCAGCCGCGGUAAUACGAAGGUCCCAAGCGUUGUUCGGAUUUACUGGGCGUAAAGAGUCUGUAGGCGGUGGGGUAAGUCAGAUGUGAAAUCCCGGGGCUCAACCCCGGAACUGCAUCCGAUACUGCCUUACUUGAGGUCGAGGGGAGUCUGGAAUUCUCGGUGUAGCAGUGAAAUGCGUAGAUAUCGAGAGGAACACUAGUGGCGAAGGCGAGACUCUGGACGACAACUGACGCUGAGAGACGAAGGCCAGGGGAGCGAAAAGGAUUAGAUACCCUCGUAGUCCCUGAGCGGGCUGGCAAGGCGCAU
rnacentral:rRNA from 1 species